rnacentral:rRNA from 1 species
GAUGAACGCUGGCGGCGUGCUUAACACAUGCAAGUCGAACGGUGAAAGAGAGCUUGCUCUCUGGAUCAGUGGCGAACGGGUGAGUAACACGUGAGCAAUCUGCCCUUGACUCUGGGAUAAGCGCUGGAAACGGCGUCUAAUACCGGAUACGAGCUGCGAAGGCAUCUUCAGCAGCUGGAAAGAACUUCGGUCAAGGAUGAGCUCGCGGCCUAUCAGCUAGUUGGUGAGGUAACGGCUCACCAAGGCGUCGACGGGUAGCCGGCCUGAGAGGGGGACCGGCCACACUGGGACUGAGACACGGCCCAGACUCCUACGGGAGGCGGCAGUGGGGAAUAUUGCACAAUGGGCGCAAGCCUGAUGCAGCAACGCCGCGUGAGGGACGACGGCCUUCGGGUUGUAAACCUCUUUUAGCAGGGAAGAAGCGAAAGUGACGGUACCUGCAGAAAAAGCACCGGCUAACUACGUGCCAGCCGCCGCCGUAAAAC